rnacentral:rRNA from 1 species
UACGUAGGGGGCAAGCGUUAUCCGGAUUUACUGGGUGUAAAGGGAGCGUAGACGGCAGGGCAAGUCUGGAGUGAAAGGCAGGGGCCCAACCCCUGGACUGCUCUGGAAACUGUCCGGCUGGAGUGCAGGAGAGGUAAGUGGAAUUCCUAGUGUAGCGGUGAAAUGCGUAGAUAUUAGGAGGAACACCAGUGGCGAAGGCGGCUUACUGGACUGUAACUGACGUUGAGGCUCGAAAGCGUGGUGAGCAAACAGG